UACGUAGGGGCUAGCGUUGUCCGGAAUCAUUGGGCGUAAAGAGCGUGUAGGCGGCUCGGUAAGUCCGCUGUGAAAGUCCAGGGCUCAACCCUGGAAUGCCAGUGGAAACUGUCGAGCUAGAGUCCGGAAGAGGCGAGUGGAAUUCCUGGUGUAGCGGUGAAAUGCGCAGAUAUCAAGGAGGAACACCAAUGGCGAAGGCAGCUCGCUGGGACGGUACUGACACUGAGGCACGAAAGCGUGGGGAGCAAACAGG
rnacentral:rRNA from 1 species